UGGGCAUGUGCACCAACCAGGAAUCGAAUCGUGACCUCCUGGUUCAUAGGUCCAUUGAAACACACCGGCCCGGCUGGCCUCUGACUUCUGCCCCUUAGUUCCUUCUGCCCAGGUCCUAAGGCUUUUAAAAUAGCUUCCAGGCGUUUGGCUUACUUCCAGAAGUCCACCUGGGCUGCUCCGCAGGGGCUGUCCGGGGAACCCCUUCUAUGUGAGGCAGAUGUGAAGGGCGUGGGUGUGGGAAGGCUCCUUGGAGAUGAAUCAGCGCUGCCUCCUCCAGGGUAAGUCAGGUGCAGGGCAUGGCAAGGGCUGGUCUACAGGAACAAGAGAAAGGGAAAGAGAGCAAGGAGAAGCUUGUAAUGACAUAUCGCAACCACCAGGGGGCAUGAAUCAUGUAGGCAAAAAACCAGCAGCUGCUGGUGGAAAAUCUCUGGUGUGUGUGUGUGUGUGUGUGUGUGUGUGUGUGUGUGUGUGUGUAUGUGUGUGUUGGACAGACUGUGAGGACCCGGCUUCUUAGGCUGGGCGGCUUCUUAGGCUGGGCAUGGGCAGAGUCAUUCUGGGAAUAUGCCACUGCCUGCCUUCGUGGAGAAGUGGAAAAUCAAGAGGGGGAUUGGGUUUUAGGGUUGGCUCUAUUCAACCUUCCGGUUCUGCUGAGGGGAGGGAGUGGCUCCAGAUCACACAGCGAGUUAAUGGCAAAUUAAUGUGAUCGUCACCAGUCUCAGUCACAUGGCCACUUGAUGGGCACCCUUUGGCUUCCAUUUCUAGGUUAGGGACAAGUCUCUAGAUGGGGCUUUAGGAAUCAGUGGCUCUGCUUCUGUCCGUCAGGAUGUCUGUCUGUCUCUCUCAUCUUAUUUCCUUCUCCCUCACGUUUUCUUUGUUACUGUGACUAUUUUCCUCUGAUCUUUCCUCCCAGUUUCCAUCCGACUGCCUCUGUGUUUCUCCUUCCUGUCUCCAUCUCUCCCUGAUGGGAGUUUGCUCAUUGGUCCCUGGAGUGAGAUGUUUCCUGCAGUCUCUCCUCGGGGGGUUGUAGCUCUCUGACGCUCUGGUUUCCAACCCAGUGUCCCAGUCUCUUCUCCUGGGAACCAGAAAAGAAACUGUGACUUGGGAGCAUGACUUGAGGAGGUCAGAAGGCCUCCAGCCUCCUAAAUACUGUCCCUAGUGCCCCCUCCCCCAUUGCCACGCAAUACCUAUAAACACGGGUUGGCACCUGGUGUGGGAGAAGCCCUUUGCUCAUGCAGAAAUGAGUAAGACCCAGUCCCCGCCCAGUGAGCUCACCGUGUGGGGGUGAAGGCAAGAGAAGACAAGUGAUCCCAUCUAGAGAAGAAUGCUCUAAGCACACAAGGACAAAAGGAGUGCUUUGUAUGAGAAAGAGCAGGUAGAGAUAGGAUCUGGUUGGGCCUAGGGAAGCCUCUAGGAAGUGGUGGCAUGUUACUGGCCUUUGGAAGAUAGGUGGGAUUUCCACAGGGUCCCUGUUUACACUCUGAGCAGAGGGACCAGAAUAAAAAGAGGGUUUCAGCCACACCCUGUGCAGUCUACCUACGUCCCAGUCACCAUGAGCAAGACCGUUAGGGUAUGUGCAAGAGAGACUAGAAAGCUGGUGAGGACGAGAGCCUGAGCACCUCCCUGCUGGGCUUCAUGGAAGGCGAGGGGGACACCACUGUGAUUUCCGAGCGGGAGAGGCAUCUGCGAAAGCCCUCAGUGGAAAUGGGAGAACCGCUGAGAAAAACAAUGCACUGCACCUGCUGAGCACAAAAGGGUCGGGAGGCUUGGGGUAGAACUAGAGGACAAAGGUUUGUUCCAGGGUCUUAGGAUUUGCAACUAGAAAACACAACGAGGCAAUCUCCCGAGUGUUCCGAAGAAGAAAGCAGAGCUGAGAGUUCCAAUAGGAAAAAGUACGCUCUUGAGAACAAUCAGUCCUUCAUUCUUAGCCUCUGGAUUGGCCUGGGACAACAAUCUUCCAGAGGUUCAGUGAUCUGGAUAAUGGCUGUCAGAUGAGCUGGAUGCAUGGACAUUCUUUCCUAUGUUUUUUAUUCUUUCCUAAGUCCUUCAGAAGGCUGUCUGUAGGAAUGUAUUUGUCUCCAGGCAUUGAGGCACAACUGGAAAGUUCAAAAGCUUUCGUCCUCAGGCCUUUUAAUCUUAUCCCUUAUGCUUCAGCCCAUUUGGUCUGAACCAGUUUUGUCAGCUUGACUAUAAACAAUUGAUUUUAAGUCAGCUUAGCUGUACUGACUCCAUGUUGUUUUCUUUCUUUCCUUUUUUUGUUUUGUUUUGUUAAUCCUCACCUGAAGAUACUUUCCCAUUUAUUUCUAGAGAGUGGAAGAGAGAGGGAAAGUCACAGAGAGAAACAUUGAUGUGAGAGAGACACAUUGGUUGCCU